rnacentral:rRNA from 1 species
UACGAAGGGGGCUAGCGUUGCUCGGAAUCACUGGGCGUAAAGCGCACGUAGGCGGAUUGCUAAGUCAGGGGUGAAAGCCUGAGGCUCAACCUCAGAACUGCCUUUGAUACUGAGAGUCUCGAGACCGGUAGAGGUAAGUGGAACUGCGAGUGUAGAGGUGAAAUUCGUAGAUAUUCGCAAGAACACCAGUGGCGAAGGCGGCUUACUGGACCGGUUCUGACGCUGAGGCGCGAAAGCGUGGGGAGCAAACAGG